GAAACUGCGAAUGGCUCAUUAAAUCAGUUAUCGUUUAUUUGAUAGUACCUUACCACUUGGAUAACCGUGGUAAUUCUAGAGCUAAUACAUGCUAAAAACCCCGACUUCGGAAGGGGUGUGUUUAUUAGAUAAAAAACCAAUGCCCUUCGGGGCUCUUUGGUGAUUCAUGAUAACCUAACGGAUCGCAUGGCCUUGCGCCGGCGACGGUUCAUUCAAAUUUCUGCCCUAUCAACUUUCGAUGGUAAGGUAUUGGCUUACCAUGGUUUCAACGGGUAACGGGGAAUUAGGGUUCGAUUCCGGAGAGGGAGCCUGAGAAACGGCUACCACAUCCAAGGAAGGCAGCAGGCGCGCAAAUUACCCAAUCCCGACACGGGGAGGUAGUGACAAUAAAUACUGAUACAGGGCUCUUUUGGGUCUUGUAAUUGGAAUGAGUACAAUUUAAACCCCUUAACGAGGAACAAUUGGAGGGCAAGUCUGGUGCCAGCAGCCGCGGUAAUUCCAGCUCCAAUAGCGUAUAUUAAAGUUGUUGCAGUUAAAAAGCUCGUAGUUGAAACUUGGGUCUGGCUAGCGGGUCCGCCUCACCGCGUGCACUUGUCCGGCUGGACCUUUCCUUCUGGAGAACCUCAUGCCCUUCACUGGGUGUGUUGGGGAACCAGGACUUUUACUUUGAAAAAAUUAGAGUGUUCAAAGCAGGCCUUUGCUCGAAUACGUUAGCAUGGAAUAAUAGAAUAGGACGUGCGGUCCUAUUUUGUUGGUUUCUAGGAUCGCCGUAAUGAUUAAUAGGGAUAGUCGGGGGCAUCAGUAUUCAAUUGUCAGAGGUGAAAUUCUUGGA
rnacentral:rRNA from 1 species